rnacentral:rRNA from 1 species
GACGAACGCUGGCGGCGUGCUUAACACAUGCAAGUCGAACGGUAAGGCCCUUCGGGGUACACGAGUGGCGAACGGGUGAGUAACACGUGGGUGAUCUGCCCUGCACUUCGGGAUAAGCCUGGGAAACUGGGUCUAAUACCGGAUAGGACCAUGCGCUUCACGGUGUGUGGUGGAAAGCUUUUGCGGUGUGGGAUGGGCCCGCGGCCUAUCAGCUUGUUGGUGGGGUGAUGGCCUACCAAGGCGACGACGGGUAGCCGGCCUGGGAGGGUGACCGGCAACGCGGGGACGGAGAAACGGCCAGAACCCCAGUGGGGGGGAGAGGGGGGGAAUAUUGAACAGGGGGCGCAAGCGUGAGGCACGGCCGCGGCGGGGGGGAUGACGGCCUGGGGGUUGUAAACCUCUUUCAGCACAGACGAAGCGCAAGUGGCGGUAUGUGAAGAAGAAGGACCGGCAAACUACGUCCCAGCCGCGGCAGUAA